rnacentral:ncRNA from 2 species
AGCAGCCGCGGUAAUUCCAGCUCCAAUAGCGUAUAUUAAAGUUGCUGCAGUUAAAAAGCUCGUAGUUGAAUUUCGGGAUCAAUAUGUUGGUCGUGCCUCGGUACGUACUAGCUUAUUGGUUUCUUCCUUCUGACGAACCAUAAUGUCAUUUAUUUGGUGUUAUGGGGAAUCAGGACUGUUACUUUGAAAAAAUUAGAGUGUUUAAAGCAGGCUCACGCUUGAAUACAUUAGCAUGGAAUAAUGAAAUAGGACGUUUGAUUCUAUUUUGUUGGUUUCUAGGAUCGACGUAAUGAUUAAUAGGGAUAGUUGGGGGCAUUAGUAUUCAAUUGUCAGAGGUGAAAUUCUUGGAUUUAUUGAAGACUAACUACUGCGAAAGCAUUUGCCAAGGAUGUUUUCAUUAAUCAAGAACGAAAGUUAGGGGAUCGAAGACGAUCAGAUACCGUCGUAGUCUUAACCAUAAACUAUGCCGACUAGGGAUCGGAUGAUGUUAAUUUUUUCAAUGACUCAUUCGGCGCCUUAC